UUCAGUGUUUCUUGUGAGGUAGGUCUUAGGAAAUUCUUUAUCUCAUCUUCAUUUCUGAAGGAUAACUUCGCUGGGUAUUCUUGGGAUGGCAGUUUUUUUUCUUUCACCACUUUGAAUAUAUCUUCCCAUUCUUUCUUGGUCUGUAAUGUCUCUGCUGAGAAAUCUGCUAAUAACCUUAUGGAGGUUUCCUUGUAUGAAAUAAAUUUGGUUUUUCUUGCUGCUUUUUAAACUCUCUUUUUGACUUUGAUUUUAGGCAAUUUUCUUAUGCUGUGUCUUGGAGAAGAUUAUUUUGAAUUGAAGUUUUAACAUGACCUAUAUGCUCCAUGAACUUGAAUAUCCGAAUCUCUCCUCAGACCUGCCAGAGAAAUUGCUUAUUUCACAGAAGGAUGGUGCUGGCUGAAAGACGCUUUCUUGAAAUGGAGGGAUUACUGCCUUCCACAGGAAUUCAUUUAAUGACAACCUAUUGAGCACAGACUAUGGAGCAGCAACCAUUCUAGUUACUGGGGAUAUGGCAGUGGCAAAAUGAAGUCCUUAACCUCAUGGAUCAUGCUUUUAUUUGGAGUGGGAAUGGAGACAGAAAAUAAACAAACAACUAAGUACAAAGUAUGUCAGAUGGGGACUAAUGCUCUGGACAAAAUAAAGUAGGGUAAGGGGGAAUAAGAAUACCUGCUUCUUUUGGGGAGGCGUGUCAUUUAUUUUAUAUAAAGUGGUCAUGAAAUGCCCCACUGAGAAAGUGACAGUUGAGUAGUAAUUUGAAGGAAGUGAGAGAAAUAAGGACAUCUGGAGACCUGAGCAACAGAGUUCCUAGUAGGGGCAACAGUGAAUAUAAGAAAUUCUAAGGUGGAGGCUUCUUAUUGGAUCAAUGGACUAGUGCUGAGGCCAGUGUGUCUUUUGUAAACAUUGAUAAUGGCAUUUUAUUAUUCAAAUUUCUGAAAUGUUUAUGUUUUCAAAUCUAUCAGCCUCUUUCUUUACAGUUUUGAACUUUGAAAAUAUGUUUAGAAUGACCUUCCAUGUGCUCACAAUUAUGAAAAAAAAUACGGUUGGCCCUCUGUAUCUGCAGGUUCUGUAUCCAUGGAUUCGACCAACUGUGGAUUAAAAAUGUAUUGUAAAAAAAUUCCAGAAAGUUCCAAAAGCGAAACUUGAGUUUGUACCAUGCCUGCAGCUAUUUACAUAGCAUUUACAUUUUAUUUACAACUAUUUACAUAGCAUUUACAUUGCAAUAGGUAUUAUAAGUAAUUUAGAGAUGAUUUAAAGUAUAUGGGAGUUGUGCGUAGGUUAUGUAUGAAAAUGCUAUGCCAUUUUAUAUGCGGGGCUUGAGCACCGUCCAAUUUUGGUAUCUGUAGGGGAUCCUGGAACCAAUCCCCCAUACAUACUGAAGGAUGACUGUAGUUUUUUCUUUUAAACUCUACUGAUAAGUGUGUUCACACUUAGAACUUUUUGAAACUAGAUGUUAACUAUGAAAAUGAUCAUGCAGUGAUUGUACAUCACUACAGUAUGUAUCCUAAAAUCAUCUAUGUUUAUGUUGACAGAUUCUUUGCUUGAUUGACCAAACUUUAGUUAGGCUCCUGAACCUUCUCCUGGACUCACCUGUAUACUUCCUUGUAAAAUCCAGUUUUAGCAAGAACCCUGCCAAGUCAGUUUAGCAAGAGACCCCCAUCCUCAAUAUCUGAUCACCCUCUAUAUCUGAUCAGGUUCUUCAUCGUUCACCACCCCCAGAUGAUGCCUAAUUACCCUGGCCUAUCUUCAGCAAAGAACCCUGUUAGGUCAGUUUAGGUGAAAUUCUCCUUAUCCCUGGUGUUCCCCUUAAUAAUUUUCCAUCCACUACCCUCCCUCCCCUUCCACUCCUGGGCUGUAUAUUCCCACUUGCCCUGUAUUUGCAAUUAAUCCAGGUUUGGUACUGAGUCACUUUUACCUUAUUGCGAUAGUCCUGAGUAAAACUUGUUUUUGCUGCUUUAACUACUGCCCAGCUCUGGUUUUUAUUUGAGAAUGUUUAGUCUGCAAUGGAGCAUCUGAGUCAGUCUAGAGUUUUGUAGGUUUCUUAAUAUUAGGAAGAUCAUUAGCUAUUAUAAAGUUAGAAAUCUUUGUGUGAGUAGGUGACUAUGUUUUUCUUUUUGUAUUAGUAUGAAUAAGCAUUUAAUAUGGUUAUAAUAGCAUAUAACUCAAUGUCUUUUUUUGAGAAAAUACUAAUCAUGAAUUAUUAUGAUGGAUCAGUGUUGGAUGAUAUUAUUUUCUGUGGUUACCUUAAAUAUAUAGUUAAAAAUGCCUGUCAAUGCAAAAGAUCAAAUUUGACUAUACUCUACCCAGUGAUGAAUGGCAAAUAUGCUGAAAACUUAGGUUAACCCAGAAUUAUUUACUUUCUUCAAGAUUCCAGUUAUUAAAACUGGCAAAUACAACACUAGAUUAAACUUUCAUUUUUUGUUUCUGGCUUGGUCUAGGUACAUAUGGAGUCCUCCUUUUGGAAUGUAAGUCUUAUGUAUGACUUGCUUUGAGGAAGAGAUGCUCGUUAGUAUUAAAAUUUGUAUAUGAACAGUUAAAUGUUAUACUAUUGAUGGGUUAUAUAUCUUUUAUUGUUACUAAUUAUAUUGCCCUUAGAACCUUUGAAAAAUCUGUUGAUAACUUCCAUUUCUAACAGGAAUCAUGUUAUUCAUAGGGCCUCAGCUAAAGGGAUACUAAUAUAUAUAUAUAUUAGAGGUGCAUUCAGUGUUGGAAUUGUGUGACCUCUUAUACCAUAAUCAUUAAAACCCAGGACUUCUUCAUAUACUGCCUUAAACGGGAUUCUGGGAUCCUUCUAUGUAUACUGGUCUAAUUUCCUCAAUGACAUUAGAAGUUCCUUGAGGAGAUUACACGUGGGAAAAUAGCACAACAAGUUUUUAAGUGAAGUAGGGAGGUAAACAUUACAAUUUUGACCCAUAAUUUCAGAGUAAAAUAUGAUCAUUAUCAGCUAGCAGUCAUGUUUUUCCAUUUCUGGUCAAAUUAGGUGUCCACUGUUUCUCUAACAUUUGCAGAAAAUCGGUUCAAUAGUCUGUACAUGAAUUA